AAAUUGAAGAGUUUGAUCAUGGCUCAGAUUGAACGCUGGCGGCAGGCCUAACACAUGCAAGUCGAACGGUAACAGGAAGCAGCUUGCUGCUUCGCUGACGAGUGGCGGACGGGUGAGUAAUGUCUGGGAAACUGCCUGAUGGAGGGGGAUAACUACUGGAAACGGUGGCUAAUACCGCAUAACGUCGCAAGACCAAAGAGGGGGACCUUCUGGCCUCUUGCCAUCAGAUGUGCCCAGAUGGGAUUAGCUUGUUGGUGAGGUAACGGCUCACCAAGGCGACGAUCCCUAGCUGGUCUGAGAGGAUGACCAGCCACACUGGAACUGAGACACGGUCCAGACUCCUACGGGAGGCAGCAGUGGGGAAUAUUGCACAAUGGGCGCAAGCCUGAUGCAGCCAUGCCGCGUGUAUGAAGAAGGCCUUCGGGUUGUAAAGUACUUUCAGCGGGGAGGAAGGUGUUGUGGUUAAUAACC
rnacentral:rRNA from 1 species